CAGUCAUGUCUCCGGUUCUUUCUGCGCAUGCUCCGAACUUAAUGUAUUGGGUGACCUACGUUCCUGUGGUGGUGAACAUGACUGCGAGUUCUCCAGAAGAACAAAUGCUGCAACAUCCAUCUACCAAGAGGAAGAGGAAAACGAUCGUUGUCCGAGAUCCUAACCAGGACAACAAGGACAUCACGGAGGAGAUCAUAUCAGAAGCUGGCAGGAGUCGGAGCCCACUCUGCCAGUGGGAAAUGUCUUUUCCGUCCCUAUGCCUCUGCAGCGUUGUGGGUUAGUCAAAGAAACCUAAAAAUGAGCAUCAGAAAAUAAAAAGCCUCGGUCUCCACACACGCAGUAAUACCGGAAGUAUGCAGUGGGAUCGAAUUUCAGGGGACGACGGCGGAACUGGAAGAACGGCUGCGAUGGAGAAACUAGCGCUAGAGCCACAUCCGGAGCAUCAGUAAAACUGGACGCAGUGCCAGACUCGACUACAAACAAGCUGCGCUAUCAGAGGAGGAAAUGGAGAAACGCUCCAUACACAUCGGUUAUUAUCUUGUUACUGCGUCACAUAAUCGUGGUGGGUUCGUGUGCAGGAGGCCUCGCAUUGCGUGGAGGAACUGGACCAGGGCGGGAUGCUGUACGUUGUUGUUCGGAGCCAAAAGGAAGUGGAGGUCUUAUGGAGGGACUCUAAACUGAGCUGUGCUGAUGUUCUUCCUGAAACCGUGGAUGGGAACAACUUCAUUACUGAGCAGCCCUGAUGAAGUCUGAUGACCUGAAGAGGGUGGAGCUGAGACUUCAGACAGCAGACGGAC